UUAUCGGUUGAGACCAUUCAGUGAGCUGAUGUCGAGGAUCACCAGUGACUUCCAUCUGCCCUCUUUCUUCGUUGCCUUACAUCUUGCCAGCGAGAGUCGGUGCUGGCCUGGUUUCUGCCAGCAUCUGUGAUAUCUGGAUAACCAUGACCGCACUAUGAGAUGUAUUAGAAGAUACACCAGUAUUGAAAGAGAAACUCUGCAAGAUGCUGAGAGGGUUCCUCCAAGAGAAAUGAAAUGUUAACACAGACUAAAAAAGCACCAUUUUAGAGUACACAAAACUCGACCAUGAUGGAUAAGUUGUGUGAGAAGACAUCACAUGUGAGACUACAGAAAGAAGAGAAAAGCAGAAACAGUGAAUCUGGGAAAAUGAAGAUAUUAAAAAAGAAAGGACAAGUCAUCAGGAUGCAAGGACACGUGUAGAUAAAAAAGCAGAAAAAUGACUCAUUCUUCAGAUCCAUUUAUGCUGCAAAAUGCACUGUGCUCUAGAACUGUGUAAUAGCAGAGCUGCAUUUACUUGUUUGUAUAAGCUUUCCGCCGCACUCCCUGUAGAAAGGAGCAGGCUGUUCCAACCUGGACUGCAAAACUGACUUCACUGAAACAUCUUUCAAAUAUCAAUGAAGAGAUGGCAUUUGUUUUGCAGGAUAGCUCAGGAAAAAUGUUCAAGGGACAAGAAAACCAGAAGAAAGCACAGUGAUGAGGCACUGGGAUGUUGUCACUGGAAUGGGACAUUCCACAAUCGUCUGCAGUGGUGCACAAACUCAAAGAAAAAGAAUUAAGGGAAGCUUUAAACACCCUUGUCCUGGAGCAUGUUUGCACUUCUGCCUUCAUCCAGCCAUCUAUUAAGGAAAAAUAACAAAAGCUUUGUCACACCCCACAAAAACACCUCCAGCUUGUGGGGUUCUGUAGACAAACUAGAUUUUGCUACCCCGGUGUGAGAUUCCUGGACCUGGUCAGCACCUCUAGAGAGAAGAGCUGGGGGAGCCCUGGAAAACAAAUCAUGAAGUUCUUCCUGGUCUGACCACACUACCAAGCAGGAGGACACAACCAUAGGCCUUGGCACUGGCACAAAUCAUCCCACAGAGAACAGGGGUGUCACUGGGCUCCCUUUUCUGUAGGAAAGCACCAGAGUACAAGUAUUGGUCUGAGGGGAUUGUAGAGACAUGAGGAACUGCUGAGGGAUGAAAAGGAUAGGCAGAGCUUUCCUUAUACCUUCUCCAAAGUGGUACAUUUGAGAUUUCUGAGCAAGGAAUUGCUGAGACUUGCUAGUACCCAUGGGGUAAGAGGUUCUUGUGCCCACUUACUGGAUGCGAACAAGGUGACACCUCAGUGAUGAUACCAAUGUCUCCUUCUGAAGGAGGAAAAAACGAAAACAGUCCUGAAAGGUCUUGAUUAUUAGCCAGAUGUUCAUGACACAAGGGGAGGAAAAAAUACGAGGGGCUGUAAGAGUUAAUGGAUUUAUUAGUGAAUGCUCUGAGAUCUUGCCGUCAUCACGCCCCGGGGGAAGUGCAGAACUCUCACUCUGUUCGUAUUUGCAACUCCCUAAAAUAAGACUACAGUGCCAGGGCUUGGAUUUCACACAUUAAUCCUGAGGGACCUUCCAGCCACAUGGCUCUGAGACAGCAAGGAAAAUUAUUUGUUUCUGUUUCUCAAAUCAAUCCGAUUAGCUGGAUUUCUACCAUAUGGGAAGCCUUACAAUGCAGGGACAGUCACUUUAGAAAGUAGCAACAAGCACAGCUUAGAGAAACUUAGAGAAAAAGGGUAGUGUCUGUCAGCAAACACCAAAUGGACUAAAUCUGUACUGAUUUGGGUUCCGUUUCCCACAGUGGAAGAGUGGGAAAGUUGUCUUCCCUUGCUCUUGGGAUAGAAAUGGUAUCAGAUGAAUCAGCCUCUUACAAGCGCUUUUUGGACAGAAUGCAGGAAAAUCUUCAUAUGAUUUGAAUUUCGUUAACUUGCAAGUGUUAUUAAUUUAUGUUGUUGGCAAACAUAGGGUCAUUAAUAACAGAAUCUGCCAAAUGCUACUACUUUAUGGGACUUAUGACAGUUGAAUCUCUGCGUCAAUAGCUUACAGCCUCACACCUGUUAGCAGGAUUCAUCUUGCCAGGCAGCAGGGACCUUGUGCAUGGGUGCAGGGUAUCGUUAGCUUCCACACCAGACAGCCAUGUCUAUGGCACUCAGCCCUGUGUAGAACUGAUUCUUGUGUUUCUGUCCUUUCCAGCAGAACCCUGGAAUAGUGAGAAGAGCCAAUAAACAAACAAAAACGAAAGGAAAAAGCCCAGAAUUUGCUGAAACUGCUGAGAACAGGAAGAGACACUAGAGAGAAGAAGAGAUUUGCAGUAGGACCAGUUGUGGAGGAUGAAGGAGAUCUGGAGGCAGGUCUUGCUCCUGACAUCUUCCCAUUCCCUCUGUAGACCUGCUCAGUCAAAGAACAGAUACUGCAUACUGGCUGCAAGUGAUUGUCAAGCUCUGGUGCUGGAGGAAGAAAAGCCAUGGACCACACCCACCCAGAGAUGCUGAUGUUCCUCCUCAGGACCACCAAAAUGUGGUGGUGGAUAGCUAUUGUUGCCUAAGGGUGAUGGGAGAACCCAUCUGCCACAUGGCUCUGAAAGGCAGGCAGAAGGGAGAAGGCAUCAUCUUCUCUGAUGCGUGCAAUUGCCUGGAAUUGAAGGUCUGAAGGAAGUUGGGUGGCUGUGUGGAUGAGGACACGGGAGAAGUUUCUGGGUGAUUUCACAGGGGAAGUUUUAAAAACUAACAGACCAGGAAGAUCAGUCUGAUGAGGCUUUUUAUGAGAGAAGAGGACAAACACAUUAAAAACAACAUGUGGUGUCAGUGGGGGGGAUUUAAGCUACUGGGAAGGAAAAGUAGAUUUAGGCUGUGUAAAUUCAGAGAAGAAUCUGGGUAAAAUGUAGAGAAAGGAGGUUAGUUGGAGUAAAGAUUUACCUUGGUCUGAUUUUAAGGAAUACAGAAAGAUGGAAAAUGAGUCAGGUCGUGGAAGCUCUGCAAAGAGUGUUCACAAUCCUUAAAAAAGUGAGGAGGAAGAAGAACAAAGAAUAUGACAAAUUUCAAGAAGAAAGCCCUAUAAACUCUGUACAUUGCUGGCAGAGAUUUCACAGGGCAGUGGGCAAAACUAAAGGAGAUGUGAAAAGAAGGAAAGUAGAAAGGUCCUGCUGCAAGUUGACAGUUACUCCCAGGAACAAUACCAAUAACAGGAGCACAAAUUGUCCCAGAGCAGAAAAAGGUAGAGAAGUCAGCAAGAGGUCAGCUACACUGACAUUUAGAUUUAUUGACCUUAAUAGAUCUUAUUACGGGUAUAGAUAAAAUGAGGCCUUUCUAGGGAAACCUCCUUUUCCCCUUGCUCUCAACUCAGGGCUGGUUCUGAGUCACAAUCUCAAAAAUUGCAAAUUCAGCUUCAGUUCCUUGCCUGAAGAAAUGUGUUAAAAUAUAGGUCUUUGUUGUUGUUAAACCCAGGAGUAUGUGAAGGAGGAAAAAAAAAAGUUCAGAAACACAUUCCCAGAAACGCAAGUCUGGAAGUCUAAGCAGGUUCAUAUAAUAUUAUUAUAUUGUCAUGGUUUUGCAAGAAAGAAAGAUAUAGAAGAUUAAACCAGAAAGUAACAGAUGCUAAAAGGAACUAUACCAGAUAUACAUGUGAAUGGAGGGGAAAAAUUAUAAAAUAAAAUAAAAUAAAAUAAAAUAAAAUAAAAUAAAAUAAAAUAAAAUAAAAUAAAAUAAAAUAAAAUAAAAUAAAAUAAAAUAAAAUAAAAAUAAAAUAAAAUAAAAUAAAAUAAAAUAAAUAUGGAAACUGGUUAGCCAGAGUCUGAGGCAGCCACCCUGGUGCUCCAUCUCUGUGUUAUAAGAGCUGCAUCCAGAAUGAGAAGAGCCAGGGCACAACGCCCCAGGUCCACCAGGCAGGAACAGACUGUUCUGUAGUGUCACACUAAAAACCCUGCAAGAAAAUAUAUCACUGAUAAUUCUGCAGACUGUUCUUAGAGAUAACUCCCUCUCUCACUCAAGACUUUCAAAUAACAAUCAUCAUCAAUGCAAUUUGGUUGCCAGGACACUUGUUUUCAUUAAUUAAAAUGUUAGUCAUGGAAUCACUAAGACCACGUCCAGAUAAAUAAACAAAUAUCAUCAGGACAUCCAGGGCUAGCUAGUAAACUUUGCACUUUGUAGGACUACUCUUGCCAUGUUUCUUUGUCAUGUCUUGUAUAUCUAAUGUGGCUUCAGCAGCAAACACCUCCCUACUUUUGCCUAAAUUAUUGCUUGCCUUAACUUCAGGAUAUUGCCUAUUAAGAAUUGACUCCUUACAUUGACAAGAGGGAAUGGAUGAAAUCCCAGCCUGGAAAACAGAUUAUAAAAACAAGUUGCAGCCCUGCAUUCUCUAUCCCCAAGUCCUGUAAGUCUGGGCAUAAUGUGUUGACAACAGGACAACAAGGGCUGUUUCCUCUCCUGUAAAUUUUCUCACUACUCCCCCACCCUGUUCUGGGCCUGUGAUCUCAUUGGCAUGAACAGAAUGAUCUGUUCUUUGAGCUGAAAAUGGAAAUAGUUUAAAUAAAAGUCAGUCUUUUUAGCCCUCCUUUGGACACUCUCUGAUAGUUUUAUGGCCUUCUCAUACUGUGGCACCCAAAACUGCACGCAGUACUCAAGGUGAGUCCACACCAGCGCAGAGCAAAGUGGGUCGAUCACUUCCGACAGCCAGCUAGCAGUGCUGUGCUUGAUGCACCUCAGGAUACAGCUGGCCCUUUUGGCUGGCAGGGCACACUAUUGACUCAUAUUCAACUGGCUGUUGACCAGCCCCCAGAUCGCUUUCCAUGGGAUCUGCAGUUUCUUGUCCUCCAGACUGUAUGUACAGUCACAGGUUGCCCCUUCCCAGGUGCAGAGUCUGGCACUAGUUCUUGAUAAACUUCUUGCAGUCAGUGAUUGCUAGGCUCUCUAAAUUUUCAGGAUCUCUUUGCAAGGCCUCUCUAUUCUUGAGAGAGUCAACAGCUCCUCCUAAUUUAAUGACACCCACAGUCUCUUAGUAUACCCUCAAGUCCUACAUCCAAGUCAUUUAUGAACAUAUUAAAGAGAACUGCUCCUAAAAUGGAGCCUGGUGGAUCCCCACUAGAUGGCUGGCUGCCAGCCUGAGGUUACCCCAUUUUACAAAAAUCCCCCAAAAAUCUUCCAUUGGGAAAGAUGGAAGUUGUGGCUCAUCUGCUGUUGCCUAUGUAGAAAGAGAGACCCUGAAGCUCAGACCUGCUUUAGAGGCAACCUCCCUGGUCCCCUGGGCCAUAUGUGAGACAACUGAUUGUUUUCCAUUCUCUCAUCCAUUUUUGCUCACUGUCUCACCCACAAACAUGAAUAUUUCCUAUAGUUUCCACGUUCUUACUUCACAGCUGAGAAAUAUUCAACUAACAAAUCUUGACCAGCACUGCCCAGGAUUAAGCUUUCAUUUAUGUGACCUGCUUCAGGGCUGUAUAGGCAAACACUAUGUAAGACUUGAUUUACAGCAGAAAUACUCAAAUCAGUUCAGACAAAAUGAGACUCACUCAAUGAGGUCUCUCCUAUUUUAAAGUAAAGGCCUAGACUCACUGCCAGAUGAAUAUGGCUGGAGUCAGAUAGAAUGUCCCUGGUGAACAAACACUAUCAUCUGCCUUCCAGGAGUGGCUAAUACCCCUGUCCAGGCAUUCUCAACACCUUCAAGCAGGGUAGUUUGCUCUGUAGCAUCAUCCCUCCAAGAUUCUCCACAGGUCUUAACAAUUAAAUACUGUCUUAGGAAGUUGUCUAAGGUAAUUUUCAGUCCUAUUGCAUCUUAAAAUAAGGUGUUCUGCAGAAGGAGAGAAUGGUAGAAGUGCUAGAGCAAUGUAUAAAAUGUCAUAGCCUUGAAUAACAGGGCAGCUGGCUUGGUUUGAUAUCUACCAUGUGUUUGCAGGAUGCAAUUGAUAUGUCCAUAAAGCCCCCAGACGAGAACAAUGAGCAAGGAGCUGUGUCAGUACAGUGCUCAUCAACCUCUAUAAGGCUUUGUUGGCUUCCAUGUUUGGAAACCAGCUAAACAUGAAAUUCCUGAUUUAAGAUGUUGUGAAUUAAAAAAUGGCAGAGUAGUUUCCUGAACUAAACGAACGUCUGCUUUUUUUUUCUGUCUUUCAUUUUUUCUUCCUUCCUUCCUUCCUUCCUU